GAUGAACGCUGGCGGCGUGCUUAACACAUGCAAGUCGAACGGUGAAGCCCAGCUUGCUGGGUGGAUCAGUGGCGAACGGGUGAGUAACACGUGAGCAACCUGCCCCUGACUCUGGGAUAAGCGCUGGAAACGGCGUCUAAUACUGGAUACGAGACGUGAUCGCAUGGUCAACGUUUGGAAAGAUUUUUCGGUGGGGAUGGGCUCGCGGCCUAUCAGCUUGUUGGUGAGGUAAUGGCUCACCAAGGCGUCGACGGGUAGCCGGCCUGAGAGGGUGACCGGCCACACUGGGACUGAGACACGGCCCAGACACCUACGGGAGGCUG
rnacentral:rRNA from 1 species